GCCGAGACCCAGUGCACAGGGCUCUUCCCUAUGAAUUGACAGCCAGGUCUCUUGUUUCCCCUCUGGCUGCCAAUGGCAUAGGUGACAGGUAUGUUCCCCUUAAAUCCCAG
rnacentral:pre_miRNA from 12 species